rnacentral:rRNA from 1 species
GAUGAACGCUGGCGGCGUGCCUAAUACAUGCAAGUCGAGCGAACAGACGAGGAGCUUGCUCCUCUGACGUUAGCGGCGGACGGGUGAGUAACACGUGGAUAACCUACCUAUAAGACUGGGAUAACUUCGGGAAACCGGAGCUAAUACCGGAUAAUAUAUUGAACCGCAUGGUUCAAUAGUGAAAGACGGUUUUGCUGUCACUUAUAGAUGGAUCCGCGCCGCAUUAGCUAGUUGGUAAGGUAACGGCUUACCAAGGCAACGAUGCGUAGCCGACCUGGGAGGGUGAUCGGCCACACUGGAACUGAGACACGGUCCAGACUCCUGCGGGAGGCAGCAGUAGGGAAUCUUCCGCAAUGGGCGAAAGCCUGACGGAGCAACGCCGCGUGAGUGAUGAAGGUCUUCGGAUCGUAAAGCUCUGUUAUUAGGGAAGAACAAAUGUGUAAGUAACUAUGCACGUCUUGACGGUACCUGAUCAGAAAGCCACGGCUAACUACGUG